rnacentral:misc_RNA from 1 species
AAGUCGUAACAAGGUUUCCGUAGGUGAACCUGCGGAAGGAUCAUUACCGAGUUAGGGUCUUCUAGGCCCGACCUCCCAACCCUGUGUCUAUCAAACCUUUUGUUGCUUCGGCGAGCCCGUCCCCGCAAGGGGACCGCCGGAGGACCGUCUACACGUCCUCUGGCCCGCGCUCGCCGACGGCCCAAACCAAAACUCUUGAACAAACAUGAAUUGUCUGAGUACCACAUUUAAUAAAAACAAAACUUUCAACAACGGAUCUCUUGGUUCUG